rnacentral:rRNA from 1 species
AUUGAACGCUGGCGGCAGGCCUAACACAUGCAAGUCGAGCGGAUGAAGGGAGCUUGCUCCUGGAUUCAGCGGCGGACGGGUGAGUAAUGCCUAGGAAUCUGCCUGGUAGUGGGGGAUAACGUCCGGAAACGGGCGCUAAUACCGCAUACGUCCUGAGGGAGAAAGUGUGGGAUCUUCGGACCUCACGCUCUCAGAUGAGCCUAGGUCGGAUUAGCUGGUUGGUGGGGUAAAGGCCUACCAAGGCGACGAUCCGUAACUGGUCUGAGAGGAUGAUCAGUCACACUGGAACUGAGACACGUUCCAGACUCCUACGGGAGGCAGCAGUGGGGAAUAUUGGACAAUGGGCGAAAGCCUGAUCCAGCCAUGCCGCGUGUGUGAAGAAGGUCUUCGGAUUGUAAAGCACUUUAAGUUGGGAGGAAGGGCAGUAAGUUAAUACCUUGCUGUUUUGACGUUACCAACAGAAUAAGCACCGGCUAACUUCGUG